AUUAAACGCUGGCGGCAUGCCUUACACAUGCAAGUCGAACGGCAGCAUGAUCUAGCUUGCUAGAUUGAUGGCGAGUGGCGAACGGGUGAGUAAUACAUCGGAACGUGCCCUGUAGUGGGGGAUAACUAGUCGAAAGAUUAGCUAAUACCGCAUACGACCUGAGGGUGAAAGUGGGGGACCGCAAGGCCUCAUGCUAUAGGAGCGGCCGAUGUCUGAUUAGCUAGUUGGUGAGGUAAAGGCUCACCAAGGCGACGAUCAGUAGCUGGUCUGAGAGGCCGAUCAGCCACACUGGGACUGAGACACGGCCCAGACUCCUACGGGAGGCAGCAGUGGGGAAUUUUGGACAAUGGGCGAAAGCCUGAUCCAGCAAUGCCGCGUGUGUGAAGAAGGCCUUCGGGUUGUAAAGCACUUUUGUCCGGAAAGAAAUGGCUCUGGUUAAUACCUGGGGUCGAUGACGGUACCGGAAGAAUAAGGACCGGCUAACUACGUG
rnacentral:rRNA from 1 species